rnacentral:rRNA from 1 species
CCUACGGGAGGCAGCAGUGGGGAAUAUUGGGCAAUGGGCGCAAGCCUGACCCAGCAACGCCGCGUGAAGGAAGAAGGCUUUCCGGUUGUAAACUUCUUUUCUCAGGGACGAAGCAAGUGACAGUACCUGAGGCCUACGCCACGGCUAACUACGUGCCAGCAGCCGCGGUGAUACGUAGGUGGCAAGCGUUAUCCGGAUUUACUGGGUGUAAAGGGCGUGUAGGCGGGAAAGCAAGUCAGAUGUGACAACCAUGGGCUCAACCUGUGGCCUGCAUUUGAAACUGUUUUUCUUGAGUACUGGAGAGGCAGACGGAAUUCCUAGUGUAGCGGUGAAAUGCGUAGAUAUUAGGAGGAACACCAGUGGCGAAGGCGGUCUGCUGGACAGCAACUGACGCUGAGGCGCGAAAGCGUGGGGAGCAAACAGGAUUAGAUACCCCUGUAGUC